GCAGGGCUUCCUUCCAUCAGAGACCCAGACUCUUCGGGAGCCGUCGCCAUGGGCUGGGCACUGGUCCUUUGCAUGCUUCUCACUUACUGGACAGGAGUCAGCGCACAACGAGUUGUAACUCAGCCUCCGUCGCAGUCCGCGUCUCCGGGCCAAACCGUUAAACUCUCCUGCACUGCAAGUCCUGCAGGAAACUGGUAUUUCGGCUGGGUCCGACAGCAGCCUGGGCAGCGUCCCCAGUUCGUGCUGUAUG